rnacentral:rRNA from 1 species
AACGAACGCUGGCGGCAGGCUUAACACAUGCAAGUCGAGCGCCCCGCAAGGGGAGCGGCAGACGGGUGAGUAACGCGUGGGAAUCUACCGAGCCCUAAGGAAUAACUCCGGGAAACUGGAACUAAUACCUUAUACGCCCUACGGGGGAAAGAUUUAUCGGGGUUUGAUGAGCCCGCGUGGGAUUAGCUAGUUGGUGGGGUAAAGGCCUACCAAGGCGACGAUCCAUAGCUGGUCUGAGAGGAUGAGCAGCCACAUUGGGACUGAGACACGGCCCAAACUCCUACGGGAGGCAGCAGUGGGGAAUAUUGGACAAUGGGCGCAAGCCUGAUCCAGCCAUGCCGCGUGAGUGAAGAAGGUCUUAGGAUUGUAAAGCUCUUUCACCGAUGAAGAUAAUGACGGUAGUCGGAGAAGAAGCCCCGGCUAACUUCGUGCCAGCCGCCGCAGUAAGAC